rnacentral:rRNA from 1 species
GUCGAGAAUCUUCCGCAAUGCGCGAAAGCGUGACGGAGCGACACCGCGUGAUGGAUGAAGUCCUUCGGGGCGUAAACAUCUUUUAUAAAGGAGGAAAUUUUUGACGUUACUUUAUGAAUAAGGGGCUCCCAAUCUCGUGCCAGCAGGAGCGGUAAUACGAGAGCCUCAAGCGUUAUCCGGAAUCAUUGGGCGUAAAGGGUGCGUAGGUGGUUUGAUUAGUCUCCCGUUAAAACUUCGAGCUUAACUCGAAAAGAGCGGGGGAAACGGUCAAACUAGAGUAUGUGAGAGGUGGGUUGAACUCAUGGUGUAGGGGUGAAAUCCGUUGAUAUCAUGGGGAACACCAAAAGCGAAGGCAGCACACUGGCACAUCACUGACACUGAGGCACGAAACCUAAGGUAGCGAAUGGGAUUAGAAACCCCGGUAGUCC